UCCACCCGAGACUCAGUGAAAUUGAACUCGCUGUGAAGAUGCAGUGUACCCGCGGCAAGACGGAAAGACCCCGUGAACCUUUACUAUAGCUUGACACUGAACAUUGAGCCUUGAUGUGUAGGAUAGGUGGGAGGCUUUGAAGUGUGGACGCCAGUCUGCAUGGAGCCGACCUUGAAAUACCACCCUUUAAUGUUUGAUGUUCUAACGUUGACCCGUAAUCCGGGUUGCGGACAGUGUCUGGUGGGUAGUUUGACUGGGGCGGUCUCCUCCUAAAGAGUAACGGAGGAGCACGAAGGUUGGCUAAUCCUGGUCGGACAUCAGGAGGUUAGUGCAAUGGCAUAAGCCAGCUUGACUGCGAGCGUGACGGCGCGAGCAGGUGCGAAAGCAGGUCAUAGUGAUCCGGUGGUUCUGAAUGGAAGGGCCAUCGCUCAACGGAUAAAAGGUACUCCGGGGAUAACAGGCUGAUACCGCCCAAGAGUUCAUAUCGACGGCGGUGUUUGGCACCUCGAUGUCGGCUCAUCACAUCCUGGGGCUGAAGUAGGUCCCAAGGGUAUGGCUGUUCGCCAUUUAAAGUGGUACGCGAGCUGGGUUUAGAACGUCGUGAGACAGUUCGGUCCCUAUCUGCCGUGGGCGCUGGAGAACUGAGGGGGGCUGCUCCUAGUACGAGAGGACCGGAGUGGACGCAUCACUGGUGUUCGGGUUGUCAUGCCAAUGGCACUGCCCGGUAGCUAAAUGCGGAAGAGAUAAGUGCUGAA
rnacentral:rRNA from 1 species